AAUACGUAGGCAGCAAGCGUUGUUCGGAAUUACUGGGCGUAAAGAGUGUGUAGGCGGUGCUCUAAGUCUGUCGUGAAAUCUCCCGGCUUAACUGGGAGGGUGCGGCGGAAACUGGAGUGCUCGAGUAUGGGAGAGGUAAGCGGAAUUCCUGGUGUAGCGGUGAAAUGCGUAGAUAUCAGGAGGAACACCUGUGGUGUAGACAGCUUACUGGACCAUUACUGACGCUGAGACACGAAAGCGUGGGUAGCAAACAG
rnacentral:rRNA from 1 species